UUGGAGGGCUUGGGGGGGGUGUGUGGGCUGUAGUGCCUCCCCCCCGCCCCGCGGGAGCAGCUGGGGCCGGGGCUCACCGGGCCGCUCCCCCCUCCCGCCACGUGCUUCCCUCCACUCCCGCCGCCGCCGGUUGGCUCCCGGCCUUGCCGUCUGGCCGGCCGCGUGGCGAGUCCCGUGCGGCGGGGGGCGCAGCAGGUUCCCGGCCGGCCCAGGGCGGGGAUGGAGGGGCCGGGGGCGCGGCAGCGGGAAGAGGAUCCGUUGGAGCCGCUCCUAGGCCCGGAGAUAACGGUGGCUGCAGGUGACUGCACAUGUCAUGAGGAAGAAGAGCUUGUGAAGGGAGGGAAAAUUGUGAAUUGGAGGCCUAGAAAAGGUAUGCAGAGAAAAAGGCAUUAAAUCAGAACAAGAUAGAGGAGCACUUGAUCAAUAUUGCAAAACAAAUUCCUGUUGCUUUGGAGGCUCCAGCUGGAGUUAUUCAACAAACCUCCCCUUGAAGGAUGUCAAGAGGAAGUGGUGAUGAUGAAACAGGACAGCUGUUUGGCAAGGAACGUUUCUGAUGGUGAGUCUCACCAGAGUAGAUUUUCUGGUUGCCCUUGCUAUGAAAGUGACACUACUCAUUCAGAUUCCUCGGGGCCUCCUAUUAAAUGUAUUGGUGACUUUGAUGACUUCCAGAGUGACCUUGAGAACUGGGAGUUGGAUGAUGAAGCCUGUGUUGUAUCUUUCCCUGAGCUGAAAAUUGAUUCUCAGUACGAGGAAGAGGACUGGGAUAAAGAAUUGGAGGAUGCUGAAUGUAAUCCUUAUGACGCGGAAGAUAUCGACUAUGGUAGUCUUCAGGAAAAUUGUCUACUGGCAUCAUGUACAUGGCAAGAAGAAUCAUUGUAUAAUCCCAGGUGUCACCAUGCAGCUCCACUCUCUCUGAGUUCGCCAAAUAGAAUGCCUGAGGUUGGCCAGUUUGAUGAUGCAGAUGACUGAGGUUUGCCCCUGUUCAGGGCCAUGCUUGGCAAAUUGGACUUUGCUCCAUUGCAGGGAUGCAAUGCAAUGUGGGGUGCCUUCACCUAGCCUAUUGGGUUCCAAACAGGGCUUUUCUGAAAACUUUCUUUGAGAAUAUUAUUGAGCUGCAAAUACACUGAUCAUGAUUGACUGGAAGGAAGCAGAGAGGAUCUCAGACUGGACACUAACCCUAGGAGAGCUGCAAAUUUCAGAUAGUAUUAUCUGUGUGGAUGCUCUGCAUGGCUGAUAACUAUAAUGCUCAUGGACUUAUGCAGCACUUUCUGCCAAAGGAUCUCCAAACCCUUUAUACUGGGGAACUAACCCUCACAACUCUGUGGCUAGAAAGGCAUCACACUCAGUUUGCUGCCCUCUGCUGGAAGAAAUCAGAACUGCUCAGCUGCAUGUCAGAGUCCCUAUACUGUUAACUGCGAGUCCCUUUGAGCACUACUUGUUGCUUCCUGUGCUUUUGGAGG